CCUACGGGAGGCAGCAGUGAGGAAUAUUGGUCAAUGGGCGCGAGCCUGAACCAGCCAAGUAGCGUGAAUGAUGACUGCCCUACGGGUUGUAAACUUCUUUUAUAAAGGAAUAAAGUUAGGCACGUGUGCCUUUUUGGAUUGACUUUAUGAAUAAGGAUCGGCUCACUCCGUGCCAGCAGCCGCGGGAAUACGGAGGGUCCGAGCGUUAAUCGGAUUUAUUGGGUUUAAAGGGAGCGUAGGUGGGUUGUUAAGUCAGUUGUGAAAGUUUGCGGCUCAACCGAACAAUUGCAAUUGAUACUGGCAGCCUUGAGUACAGUUGAGGUAGGCGGAAUUCGUGGUGUAGCGGUGAAAUGCUUAGAUAUCACGAAGAACUCCGAUUGCGAAGGCAGCUUACUAAACAGCCACUGACAUUGAUGCGCGAAAGUGUGGGUAUCAAACAGGAUUAGAUACCCCAGUAGUC
rnacentral:rRNA from 1 species